GCGCUUCGGCGUCCCCCAUAGAUGGCUUUGCGGUGCAUUAGCUAGUUGGUGGGGUAACGGCCCACCAAGGCGACGAUGCAUAGCCGACCUGAGAGGGUGAUCGGCCACACUGGGACUGAGACACGGCCCAGACUCCUACGGGAGGCAGCAGUAGGGAAUCUUCCACAAUGGACGAAAGUCUGAUGGAGCAACGCCGCGUGAACGAUGAAGGCUUUCGGGUCGUAAAGUUCUGUUGUAAGGGAAGAACAAGUGCCGCAGGCAAUGGCGGCACCUUGACGGUACCUUGCGAGAAAGCCACGGCUAACUACGUGCCAGCAGCCGCGGUAAUACGUAGGUGGC
rnacentral:rRNA from 1 species